UACGUAGGGGGCUAGCGUUGUCCGGAAUCACUGGGCUUAAAGGGCGCGUAGGCGGGCUGUCCAGUCUGGGGUGAAAUCCCACGGCUCAACCGUGGAACUGCCUCAGAUACUGACGGCCUCGAGGGAGAUAGGGGCAUGCGGAACUGUAGGUGGAGCGGUGAAAUGCGUUGAUAUCUACAGGAACUCCGGUGGCGAAGGCGGCGUGCUGGAUCUCUUCUGACGCUGGAGGCGCGAAAGCUAGGGGAGCAAACGGG
rnacentral:rRNA from 1 species